rnacentral:rRNA from 1 species
UACGAAGGUGGCAAGCGUUGUUCGGAUUUACUGGGCGUACAGGGAGCGUAGGCGGUUGGAUAAGCCCUCCGUGAAAUCUCCAGGCUUAACCUGGAAAGUGCAGAGGGGACUGUUCAGCUAGAGGAUGGGAGAGGAGCGCGGAAUUCCCGGUGUAGCGGUGAAAUGCGUAGAGAUCGGGAGGAACACCGGUGGCGAAGGCGGCGAUCUGGACUGCAACUGACACUGAGGAACGAAAGCCAGGGGAGCAAACGGG